AUAAUGCAUUUUCAACUAGUUUGAUAACUGUGAUAUUUAUCUUUGUUUUACAAUAAUGAAGCAUUACGUGGCUCGGAGAAUGACUAAGUAUUGUGUUCGGAAUUUUGUGAUCUCUAGAUAACUGUGGUAUAUUUGAGUUUUACAACUGAAUAUAAGGUAGCCAGAUACCAGCCGCUUCCAGUGUUGUGUUGUGUUCGUGAAAAUGAAAAUGGUCGACGAUUUCGAUUUCCUGAGAGUCACUAAAAGCUUAACCCGAAAUAAUUUUGCAUCAUUUUACUCCAAGAUAUGGCCUGUACAGAAAAUAUACAAUAAAAGAACAGAAAUGGCCGCAGUCCAAGGCUGGACGCUAAGACGGAAGGAGUUUUAGUGAGUAAACAGCUUGGCUGGAGCCCCACAGAACCCAGCGCAAAAACAACCAUCAGGUACCAACUGAACGUAAAUAGCAGCACUACACGAUCUAACUCAUGUAAUCUCAAUAUAAAUUACAUCUCUCAGGUUUUUUAGUUUAAUAAAUACCUAUUGUAGAGAUAAAUUCAUGUGCUUUAUUUUCCCGAUUUGCCCUAGUUUUCACACGAACACAAUUUUAGCAGG